rnacentral:rRNA from 1 species
AGGAUUAACCCCCACACUGGAAGUGAGACACGGUCCAGACUCCUACGGGCGGCAGCCGUAGGGAAUAUUGGGCAAUGGAGGCAACUCUGACCCAGCCAUGCCGCGUCGAAGGAAGACGGCCCUAUGGGUUGUAAACUUCUUUUAUCGUGGAGUAACACCCGGUCACGUGUGGCCGGUUGAGAGUACACGAGGAAUAAGUAUCGGCUAACUCCGUGCCAGCACCCGCGGUAAUACGGAGGAUACGAGCGUUAUCUGGAUUUAUUGGGUUUAAAGGGUGCGCAGGCGGAUCGGUAAGUCAGGGGUGAAAAGUUGGGGCUCAACUCCAAUCGUGCCUUUGAUACUGCCGGACUAGAGUGCGAUAGGCGUGGCUGGAAUGUGAUGUGUAGCGGUGAAAUGCUUAGAUAUGUCACAGAACACCGAUCGAGAAGUCAGGUCACGAGCUCGCAACUGACGCUCAGGCACGAAAGCGUGGGGAUCAAACAGGCUUAGAUACCCUGGUAGUCCACGCUGUAAACGAUGAUCACUCGUUGUUGGGGGGCGACCCUCAGCGGCCAAGCGAAAGCAAUAAGUGAUCCACCUGGGGAGUACGAUCGCAAGGUUGAAACUCAAAGGAAUUGACGGGGGCCCGCACAAGCGGAGGAGCAUGUGGUUUAAUUCGAUGAUACGCGAGGAACCUUACCCGGGCUUGAACGUAAGACGAAUAUGCAGGAGACUACAUAGCCUACGGGCGUCUUGCGAGGUGCUGCAUGGUUGUCGUCAGCUCGUGCCGUGAGGUGUUAGGUUAAGUCCUGCAACGAGCGCAACCCUUACCUCCAGUUACCAGCACGUCAAGGUGGGGACUCUGGAGGAACUGCCUACGCAAGUAGAGAGGAAGGUGGGGAUGACGUCAAAUCAGCACGGCCCUUAUGUCCGGGGCUACACACGUGCUACAAUGGCGCGCACAGAAGGCAGCGACCCUGCGAGGGGGAGCGAAUCCCGAAAGCGCGUCUCAGUUCGGAUCGGAGUCUGCAACCCGACUCUGUGAAGUUGGAUUCGCUAGUAAUCGCGCAUCAGCCAUGACGCGGUGAAUACGUUCCCGGGCCUU